rnacentral:rRNA from 1 species
GAUGAACGCUGGCGGCGUGCCUAAUACAUGCAAGUCGAGCGAACAGACGAGGAGCUUGCUCCUCUGACGUUAGCGGCGGACGGGUGAGUAACACGUGGAUAACCUACCUAUAAGACUGGGAUAACUUCGGGAAACCGGAGCUAAUACCGGAUAAUAUAUUGAACCGCAUGGUUCAAUAGUGAAAGACGGUUUUGCUGUCACUUAUAGAUGGAUCCGCGCCGCAUUAGCUAGUUGGUAAGGUAACGGCUUACCAAGGCAACGAUGCGUAGCCGACCUGAGAGGGUGAUCGGUCACACUGGAACUGAGACACGGUACAGAUGCCGACGGGAGUCAGCAGUAGGGAAUGUUCCGCAAUGGGCGAAAGCUUGACGGAGAAACGCCGCGUGAGUGAUGAAGGUCUUCGGAUCGUAAAACUCUGUGAUUAGGGAAGAAAAAAUGUGUAAGUAACUAGGCACGUCUUGACGUGACCUAAUCAGAAAGCCACGGCUAACUACGUG